GACGAACGCUGGCGGCGUGCUUAACACAUGCAAGUCGAACGGAAAGGCCCUGCUUUUGUGGGGUGCUCGAGUGGCGAACGGGUGAGUAACACGUGAGUAACCUGCCCUUGACUUUGGGAUAACUUCAGGAAACUGGGGCUAAUACCGGAUAGGAGCUCCUGCUGCAUGGUGGGGGUUGGAAAGUUUCGGCGGUUGGGGAUGGACUCGCGGCUUAUCAGCUUGUUGGUGGGGUAGUGGCUUACCAAGGCUUUGACGGGUAGCCGGCCUGAGAGGGUGACCGGCACCAUGGGGACGGAGAUACGGCCCGGAUCCUUAGGGGGGGAAGCGGGGGGGAAUUUUGCACAAGGGGGGGAAGCCGGAUGCAGAAACGCCGGGUGGGGGAUGACGGCCUUCGGGUUGUAAACGGUUUUCGCCUGGAAGGAAGCGUGAGGGGGGGAAAUGGGUAAAGAAGCACCGGCUAACUACGU
rnacentral:rRNA from 1 species